rnacentral:lncRNA from 1 species
GAUCGACAAUCUAAUAGGUGGCACAUUUUGGGUCCCUCGCCAUGAUGUGGACACGACGGUCCUACCGAAGCAAGGACGAGCCACGGGAUAACAUAGCCGGUGGCUCUCGUCAUGCACACCGGUUGGUCCUGCUCCGGCGAGCCGCCGCCACCGUGCCUGUUUCGAUCUCACUAUUUAGUUUAUAGGUGACCCGUGCCUCCUUUUAUCUCCCUUGCAUUAUUGAUGUGGGUAACUUCCACUCUAGUCCUAACCUUCUCUUUUGGUUUUCCCGUAGGUUCGUUGUCGGGCAGUGUAGAACUGAAAUAGUUGAAGAGAACAUCACGAGGCGAUGCUAGAAGCUUGCUUGUGUGCUAGCCGUUGUUGUGAUUUGAAGCAAUUUACAAGUUCGCUGAAUGGAAAAAAAGAGGGACUAUGGUGAGAGAUGACUAAAUCUACAGUUUUGAAUCCCUUUACCAUUAGUAGUUUAAAUAGCAAUCAAAAUUUCUUUUCAUGAGAUGGUGAUUAAUCAGUCUAAAGUUGUUCUACAUAUUAGUAAAAUGUUGUAUUUGAACUAGAAAGUUCAAUUUCUUUGCUAAACCAUGGACCGGUCAAUGUUGAAUUAGCUGAGAAUGUUUUUGAAGUUCGCUGAAUCACUUGUGUGAAUCUUUAUACCAACUAUGAGUGUUUCAUAAUCGUGGGAAUUUCUUUACCAUCUUUCAAGUACAUCGAAAUCUCCUAGGAUGGCAAACAAGAAGUCGACCAAAAUAUCCGGCAACGGUGGUGAGCGUAGCGGUGACAUGUGGUUUCCAUGCCUAUUUGUCGGCUCUACAAAUGCACAUUUGAUUUCUCCGUAUUCAUUUGUUGAUGUCUACUUUCAUGAGCAGUUGAGAACUACUUGAGGCAGAGUAUUUACAUCCUAAAUUUCAUCCUUCACUCCUUGUAGGUGUACUUACCCUUCUCUUGCUGUUGUUGCAUCUAGAUAUACAAUCUAUGCUUGCUUUGUGGAAGUGGAGAUGGAAAGGAAGUUGUCAUUAGUCAAGUCAUGUGAGCGGGGAAGGGGCCAAAAAAGCGAAGCUAAAAACAGGUAAUAGGCCCAUCAGAAUAUUGUAAGGAUGAGACUUUUCAUCACUGCAUAUCACGUGACAAUUGAAUAGUAUAAUCACAUGAACUAUGUACUCGUUAUGAUCUCAUAUACAGAUUUCUGGGACAUUUUUUGUUCCUUUUCUUUCUUCACAGGCCAUCUUUAGUGCUUUUCCAGUUAAUGGUAUCUUUGGGCCAAAAUAUAAUAGUUGCUAAUGCCUUUGGAUCGUUUACUUUGUUGGUUUUAUGAUUCUUGGAGGAUUCAUCAUAACUAAAGGUUGAUUUAUCAGAAAUAUUUUCAGCUACUUGAGGUUACAUUUUGAACCGAUACAUCUAACAUAUUGCAACCUUUUUCUGACUAUUUAAAAAAAGCUCAGUCUGUUGGAUUUGGUGUUAUUGGAUCUCUCCUAUUAUAUAUGCACAAAAUGCUAUAUCAGUAUAUGAAUACCAUGGGCAUUCUUGUUGCAAGGUGAACUUGAUUUUAAUACUUCCCCGAGGAAGUUGUGCAGUUUUCAUUUUGUGUCAACCAAUGCUGCUUUCGUCUUAAUCAUAAACAUGCGAUCCUAAUUUUUCUUGCAUAUUUUACUUGGUGGCUAACUCAAACUUAUUUGCUGUAAUUUUUGUAUUCAUCAUCACGAACAAGACCAGAUCAGUGGAGUAGUCUCCGUCGAAACAUAUAACAAAUAAUAAGCCCUAUCACUACCUCUGGAGAACUAACAAGAGUUAAAUGAUGUAGAAUAUGAAUGAUGAACUUGUAAUGGGUGUGGAGGGCAGUCUGCAAGGUGUUUUAGUAACCCUUUCUUGGUGUGAACAAUAUGGUCUGGUAUUGUUGUUAGUUUUCAAUCAAUCCAGGAUUUGACCUUGUUUGCAAAUUCAAGUGUUUUAUUAGAAGGAUGACGCAAAUCCCACACAAGGAACAUGUUAAUAUGCAUACUAUUGUUCUUCCUGAGUCAUUUGUGCAACAUAUAUUUUUCACCAUAGUGAUUGAAAAUUGACUCGUGUGUAGGUCGAUUUUGGUGUGUUCUAACUUCUACAACUAUCAAAGGGCUGCUCGUUCUGAAAAUUAUUCACAAACAUGCAGGCUGUGACCAACUUUUCAGAUAUCUCUAUUUUUCGGUGGUUUAUGCUGAUUCACAAAGGUGCAACGAAACUAUCUAAAAUCAUUUAAUUGUGGCUUCCCACUGACUACUUUGAAGAGCGGGGCAUCCUGAUGUUUUACUUUGACGUGCACAGUAUCCUAUGUUUUU